CUGAGGAGCGAAAGCGUGGGGAGCGAACAGGAUUAGAUACCCUGGUAGUCCACGCCGUAAACGUUGGGCACUAGGUGUGGGGGGCAUUCCACGUCCUCCGCGCCGCAGCUAACGCAUUAAGUGCCCCGCCUGGGGAGUACGGCCGCAAGGCUAAAACUCAAAGGAAUUGACGGGGGCCCGCACAAGCGGCGGAGCAUGCGGAUUAAUUCGAUGCAACGCGAAGAACCUUACCAAGGCUUGACAUGGGCCGGACAGGGCUGGAGACAGUCCCUCCCUUCGGGGCCGGUCCACAGGUGGUGCAUGGUUGUCGUCAGCUCGUGUCGUGAGAUGUUGGGUUAAGUCCCGCAACGAGCGCAACCCUCGUUCCAUGUUGCCAGCACUUGAAGGUGGGGACUCAUGGGAGACUGCCGGGGUCAACUCGGAGGAAGGUGGGGACGACGUCAAAUCAUCAUGCCCCUUAUGCCUUGGGCUUCACGCAUGCUACAAUGGCCGGUACAAAGGGUUGCGAUGCUGUGAGGCUGAGCCAAUCCCANGAAAGCCGGUCUCAGUUCGG
rnacentral:rRNA from 1 species